ACACGUAGGGGGCGAGCGUUGUUCGGAAUCAUUGGGCGUAAAGGGCGCGCAGGCGGCGAGGCAAGUCCGGUGUGAAAGUGCUCGGCUCAACCGAGUGAUGCGCUGGAAACUGCCCUGCUUGAGUACAGGAGGGGACGUCGGAAUUCCAGGUGUAGGGGUGAAAUCUGUAGAUAUCUGGAAGAACACCGGUGGCGAAGGCGGGCGUCUGGCCAUGUACUGACGCUGAGGCGCGAAGGUGCGGGGAGCGAACAGGUUUAGAUACCCUGGUAGUCCGCACAGUAAACGAUGUGCACCAGGUGGCGGGGGGUAGCCCUCGGUACCGAAGCCAACGCAUUAAGUGCACCGCCUGGGGAGUAUGCUCGCAAGGGUGAAACUCAAAUGAAUUGACGGGG
rnacentral:rRNA from 1 species